rnacentral:rRNA from 1 species
UGCGUAGGCGGCCUGAUAAGUCAGAGGUGAAAGCCCACAGCUCAACUGUGGAACUGCCUUUGAUACUGUUGGGCUUGAAUUAGGUUGAGGUUAGCGGAAUGUGGCAUGUAGCGGUGAAAUGCAUAGAUAUGCCAUAGAACACCAAUUGCGAAGGCAGCUGGCUAGACCUUAAUUGACGCUGAGGCACGAAAGCGUGGGGAGCAAACAGGAUUAGAUACCCUGGUAGUCC